GAUUUCCAGGACGUCGGAAUACUUCCCAGGAGAUUCCAGCUGAACACUAAGGACAACCUAACUGACGCAUUGUCCAAGGAAGCCCAGCAGACACGAGUGUUUAUCCUGUGCGCCUAUGGACAAGACGUCCAUCAUUUCAUGCUGGCGGCCUACGACGUUGGACUCAUGAACGGAGAAUAUGCCUUCGUCUCCAUCGACUACGCCAACAUGGGCAUGAGGAUUAACGAUUCCUACAACUCCACCAUUCCGUUUGCUAAAGUAUUUGGAGGGAUGCUUGAUAUUACGGUAGAUGUCCAUCCGGAGAAACCAGAAUUUAAAGAUUUCAUAAAACGUAUAGAAGCCUUUAAAGGGA